rnacentral:rRNA from 1 species
GUGGGGAAUAUUGGACAAUGGGGGCAACCCUGAUCCAGCAAUGCCGCGUGUGUGAAGAAGGCCUUCGGGUUGUAAAGCACUUUCGAUGGGGAAAAACAAGCCAGACCUAACACGUCUGGCCCUGAUGGUACCCAGAGAAGAAGCACCGGCUAACUCUGUGCCAGCAGCCGCGGUAAUACAGAGGGUGCAAGCGUUAAUCGGAAUUACUGGGCGUAAAGGGUGCGUAGGUGGUUUGUUAAGUCAGGCGUGAAAUCCCUGGGCUCAACCUGGGAACUGCGUUUGAUACUGGCAGACUCGAGUCUGGUAGAGGGUAGUGGAAUUCCGCAUGUAGCGGUGAAAUGCGUAGAUAUGCGGAGGAACAUCAGUGGCGAAGGCGGCUACCUGGACCAAGACUGACACUGAGGCACGAAAGCGUGGGGAUCAAACAGGAUUAGAAACCCCUGUAGUCC